rnacentral:rRNA from 1 species
UACAGAGGUCUCAACCGUUGUUCGGAUUCAUUGGGCGUAAAGGGUGCGUAGGCGGCGGGGUAAGUCAGGUGUGAAAUCUCGGGGCUCAACCCCGAAACUGCACUUGAUACUGCCUCGCUUGAGUACUGGAGAGGAGACUGGAAUUUACGGUGUAGCAGUGAAAUGCGUAGAUAUCAGGAGGAACACCGGUGGCGAAGGCGGGUCUCUGGGCCGUAACUGACGCUGAGGAGCGAAAGCAUGGGGGAGCGAACAGG